rnacentral:rRNA from 1 species
UACGUAGGGGGCAAGCGUUGUCCGGAUUUAUUGGGCGUAAAGCGCGCGUAGGCGGCCCGAUAAGUCCGCUGUAAAAGUCCAGGGCUCAACCCUGGAAGGCCGGUGGAUACUGUCGGGCUAGAGUCCGGAAGAGGCGAGUGGAAUUCCUGGUGUAGCGGUGGAAUGCGCAGAUAUCAGGAAGAACACCCGUGGCGAAGGCGGCUCUCUGGGACGUGACUGACGCUGAGACGCGAAAGCGUGGGGAGCGAACAGG